rnacentral:sRNA from 1 species
ACUGCCUUUAGAUGCAGUGUUAGAGGUGAACCAAUUUCAUGUCAGCUUAAGUGGCUAUAUCAAAUAGAAUCGUUUUAACAAGGCCUUGGACUUUCAGUUGCGUCAAAACAAGUUAAAAGUGACGCGGUUUCAAGCGAAAUAUGCACCGAUUGCGCAGUCUUAGCUUAAAUGCCAGACAAAUCUCGUUGAUUUCAGAGAGCAAUGGCUGAGUGGCUGACAAUGAAAUAGACAGACAUACGUCACAUUGCUGUUUAACACAAUUACCCUAUGUCCAAACUUUUGUUAAAAUGGUUCUAGUUUUAACAUCGUCUCUUUGAUGUCUUCUUUGCUAUUGACUUUGCGUGAACGAUAUUUUGAUUGAUCGAAAUUAGAGUAACACUGAGAUCACGACCACAAUGGGUUUACACGGGCCGAUCUCGGGCUUCUAUUGGACCUUCUCUGACACAAUGUUUAAAAAAUAAGCAUGGUUUUCGGUUUCGACUUUAUAAUUUUACAAAAUUAUAGUUGUUUGCAUGCUUCGGUAUAAGGACUGAUCUUUGACAGUAUACUUUUACUUCCUCUAAAUGUUAUCAACAUUGUCGACUGUGACAUAAUAGUAAUUUCAUUGUGAACACAAUUGUGUGUACAAUGUACGUGGAUGUACUUGUUAAUCAAAUGACGAUUUAUCAAUACAAUGGAGAUCGUUAAAAUGUGUACGGGAUGUGAACUUGGUUGAUCGGCUGAUCAAAUCCUAUCUGUAAUGUUCGAAGAUUUAAACAAUUUGGCAAUUUUUAUAUUUCUGUGAACUGAUAUAUACAUAUAUCUUUGUUGUGUAAGAAAGAGAAACUAUGAAAAAUAUAUUUUUGCUCCAUAAAAGGUUCAUAUUCACAAGCAAAAAUGUAAAUAUUUGAAAUCAUUGAAGCAGAUAUGUCCAUCUAGACGUGAUAAGUUAGUGGUGAUAAGUGUCCGCGGCGGGCCUUAGGAGGUCAAGGAUGAGCAGUGUAAAGGUGGCGCUGCAGCGGAAGUCGGUGAUCGGACGCUGAUCAACACGCUACAGCCUAGAGUAAAUAAGAAGUACCUCGAGAUCAGCAGACAGUAUACUUUGUGAUGUUCCGGUCUGUUUGUUGGAAUAAUGAUAUACAUUUUUUGUACACUUAUAAAUGAGAGUUCUGAACUUAAAUAAAUCAUUGAACUAUUACUUGAGCAUGAAAAUUUAAUGCAGCAAUAAAAUAGGUUUCAACAUUG